GGGUCGUUAGCUCAGCUGGUAGAGCAGCGGACUUUUAAUCCGUUGGUCGGGAGUUCGAUCCUCCCACGGCCUACCA
rnacentral:tRNA from 1 species